rnacentral:lncRNA from 1 species
UGAAGGAAGAGCCCAAGGAGAUUGGCCUGGUGGUCAGCUAAAUCUGCUCCUGCAAAAGCAGCAGGAAAGGACAAAUCUUCAGACAAAAAAGUUCAAAAAAAGGGAAAAGGGGAACAAAGGGAAAACAGGCCAAAGUGGCUAAUCAAGAAAUUAAAGAAGAUUUACGUGCAGAAAAUGGAAAGACUAAAAACGAGGCAUGUCCAGCCUUUGAUGAAGCCAGAGAGAAAGAAGCCAAGUCUGAUUAA